AGGUGACGGGCAAUCCUGAGCCACAGCAGAGCAUGAGCCAGCAAGAAGGGGAAGUUGGGGGUAGGGAGAGGCUGGGCCCCACUGGAGCCACUCGGUGCCAGCCCAGCCCGGCAGCAGCCCUGGGAGGAGGGGUCGUGCCACCUCGUGCCGGGCAGCCGAGGGUGACAGUGGCCCAGCUCUGAGGCCAGCUGUGGCCAAGGGACACAGGCCGGGCCCUGCCCCCAUCACCGGCCUCUUUGUUCCCAGCCUGGCUCUGCCCUGGCUCCCCUCCCCCACCACCCUGGGAUGCAGAAUUCCUGGGUAUGUCUGUGCAUUGCACACAUGCCACAGCAGCAGAGGCCAGAGAGGACAUCAGAUCCCCCGGGACUGGAGUUACAGACAGCUGCGGGCUGCCGUGUGGGUGCUGGAGAUUGAAUCUGGGUCCUCUGGAUGGCUUAGGAGGGAGAGUCCGGAACUGUUUAGGCCUGAGCACAGUCAUUCCUCAUCCUCAGCACUUUGAGUAUCCGGGAGCUUCUGCACUCACCGUUCACCGGGCAGAGAAUCUCCUCCGCUCAAGAUAAGGAACAGACUUGUCUAAGGGUAUAAACAAGCUUUUAGAAGUCAGCUAACUUCGGAGAACCACAGUAACACUCAAUGAUACUCAAUAAUACCACCCCCCAGCCUAUGACCUCCCCAGCUGUGAGUUUCUAAACAGCUUGAAAUUAAAAUUCUGAAAAUAUGAAGCAUUAGAACUCCUGCCUAGAACCCUCAGUGAGGGGCUGGGGGCGUGGCUCAGUGGUAGAGCCGGGCCUCGAACACGUCUGUCUCUUAGUUCCAUCUCCCGUACUGAAAAAGGAGAUAUUUACAUUACAUCCAAUGCCCACAUCUUUGUCCAAGUGCAUUAUGGGAAUCUGUUCAGGUUUUAAAGCAAGGAGUGCUUGGAGGCGCUGGCUCACGCCAGUUGGAGUUGGGAAAUGGAGGCUCAAGGAGGGUGGGGUGCCUUGCUACAGUGUGGCAACAGGGUUGCUGCUGGAAAUAGGCCAUGAACCGGAACACCCCAAGCCCGGGCUCUUAUCCCUGGAGAACUGCUACUUUGUUGCUUGGUAUUAGUCAAAACAAAACAAACUGGUGUCCAAAUGGCUCGCCUUUCAAGAAUAUAAUGUGGCCAGGGCCCAACACUAUCACGAGACCCCCCGCGGGGGGGCCUCUGCCUCCCCCUGUCAUGUCUGUCCCCACGUGCUGGCUGCUGGUUACGGGAGAGCGGUUGACUCAGCCCUGAAGCUGUGCCUCCUUGUAAGGGGCCGGGUUCUGUGCUGUGAGGUGUGGCUGCACCCAAGCACCGCUCCUCACAUCCCACAUGCCGCCUCUCCCCAGAGCUUUCUGCCAGUUCCUCACCCGGAUCUUAGGCCACGGCAUAGCUAGGUCUCCUUUCUCUUGUCCUGGUGGCACCCUGUCUAGUGUGUGGCCCCGGCUUGGCUUGAGUCCUCUGCGGCUGUGGGGAUGGGAGA